GAAAAGUUUUAUCCUUGCUUGGUUUUUACUGUUUAAUUGGUGUACAUGUAAGGUAAAUCUAGGUACGUUGUAGUGCGCUUUUAUGUCCUCAGUACAAGGUAUUAGUCAAUAAGUGAGAGCUUGAACUAGUAAUUUAAUAGAGUCCAGGCUAAACUUGUGCCAGCAGCCGCGGUUAGACUGAUGGGACGGGUAAUAGGGUUUAAGUUGGACAAUUAAGAGGUGCUUACAAAAAUCAAGCACUUACGAGAGUAAAGGGUGAAAUCUAGUGGUUCAUGGUGAGGGCUUGGGAAUUUAAGUUGGGCUGAAGUUGUGAAGGUUAAGAUCUAAAUCAGGAUUAGAUACCCUGUUAUACUUAAUUGAAAUUUUAAUUAGGCUUGAGUAGUAAUCAGUUAUGUUCUUGAAACUUAAAGGAUUUGGCGGUAUUUUAGUCUAGUUAGAGGAACCUGUUUUAUAAACGAUAAACCACGAAUUAUCUUACUUCUUUUGGUAAAAUCAGUUUGUAUACCGUCAUUGUCAGAUAACCCUUAUAAGGAGUUAUUAAAAUAAAUAUUUAUUAAUAUAUUAGAUCAAGGUGCAGCCGAUGGAGGAGUCAAUAAUGGGUUACAUUGUUUUAAAGCAUACGAAAAGAGAUUAGAAAUGAGCUUUGGAAGGUGGAUUUAAUAGUAAUUAUGUUUUAAUAAGGGAUAAUGAUACUAGCUCUAAGAUAUGUACACAUCGCCCGUCGCUCUCACUCUUAAUGUGAGAUAAGUCGUAACACAGUAGGAGUGUUGGAAAGCGUUCCUAGAAUUUU
rnacentral:ncRNA from 1 species